ACGCAGCCCGACUUGAGCGGAAAUCCUUUUUUGCUUGUCUUCGGUUUCUAUUGAACUGAAAUCGUUAUGCAAAAAAGAUUGGGAGCGGAAGGCGGAUUAAGC
rnacentral:sRNA from 1 species